rnacentral:lncRNA from 1 species
UCAGAGAAAUUUGCUUUUCCUCCUGUCAGGCAGUUAGAGUAGAAGCAGAUUAUCAUAGAUCAGUCUGGGAAUGAUAUGAUUCCAAAUUGGAUGUGAGUGUUUAUGAAGCUGAUCUAGCCCUGCAAGGGUCAAAGCUGAAAGGGUGGUGUGUUUAUCAAGGCCUCUUUUCUCAACAAUGAGAGCUCCAAUUUGUCCUCUUGCUAUCUCACCUGAACUUUUGUGCUUAUCUCUUGGUAUCAGCCACACUCCUUUUACAGCAACCAGUCAUAAAACCUCAAGAGUAAUCUUUCAAAAUACCUAAUUCUCCCUCCUCAGAAUUUAUCAGCUACUCUCCAAUUCCUAAAUCAGUGGUUUCCAAAGUGUUUUCUGUGGAAAUUCUUCUAGAACUUCCAGUAGGGAUGUGGAAGUGGUCAAGCUGCCAGGGGGCUUGUGAACUCCCCCUUCACACACACAUACACACACACACACACACACACACACAGAGAGACAGAGAGAGAGACUCCCACAGGGCAGUUUCUCAUUGAUCCGAUUUCUAUAUUGCACUUCUCAGAUUUUUAUUUGAAGAACGGGGCUUGGAGCUAAAAUGAUUUGAUAGCACUUGACUUAGAUAAUAGCAUCUAAAUUACGUACAUGAGGCCGCUGGAUUUUUCCAUAUUUCCAUAUUUGGAGUUUGCUCCAAAUAUGGAAGGGCCUCCUAUAUUCUUUUACCAUCCACCUCACCUCCACUGGCGCAAGGUGACCUCACUCCUGCCCUGGAGAGCUCAGGUGCAGAGACUUGCACUCUGCUGAGGGCGUCUGGUAUAGAAUAUUUUUGAGGCACUGGCCUCCAGCCAGCCAACCCCAGAGGACUGUGAGUCUCCCAGCUCCCAGCAGAAGGAAAGGAGGUAGCUUCUCAGAGCCAUGGAUGCAGGCAAAUACAGCACCCACCUCCUCAAAUAUUGCUGGGUUACCAUAGUAGAGGGAAAGAAAAAACAUCAGCCAGAACUUGUCACAUGGUCCAACCCAGCCAGAAGAAACCAGGAAGUGCCAUCCAGCCAUGGUCUUCAAGAGAAACCAGCUGGAAAUAUUUAGUGGGCAGCAAUGAUUACCACAGUCUUUUUGAAAACCCCAAGCCUGAACUUUUAGGCUGUGUGCCUGGUCCCAGGGGAAAAGCUCAGGCCUAAGGGAGCAGCUGGAAAAAUAGAGGUCCACCUGUUCUGCUGUACCUGCUGGAGUAUAGGAAGCACUCAUAGGGGUGCAUGGGUCCAUAGUCCCUACAUCUACACAGUCUAUGUGCAGUAUGAACCACACACUUCCUGCCUCCCUGACACCUUGAGUUGACAUGUGGUCUCAUGUUCUCUAGCCCUUCCAGGCUCCUUCUGGGUGUGUUGAAAAUGCUUUAUGAUUUUUCUUCUAGGAAUACUCAGCAGGAAGGUGGAGAUGGUAGGGGCUGCAGAAGUAUUAGAGCAGAGGAGGGGAUGAUUCUUUGGACCACAGUUGAUCACACCACACAGAGCAAUCAAUUAAGACUUGUACUAAAUCAUUACUUUAUGUUGCCUAAACCUGCCCAGUAUUAGGCACUGCAGGAGAGACAAGAGAAAUAAGAUAUAGUCCCUGCUCUCAGGGAACUUAUAAUCCAAGAGGUGAGUUAGGAACUACUACCUUGUAUUGUAAUUUUUUUCUCAGUGCCAUAUGAAUGGCACCGAGAAUAAAAAUUAUUAGAGUUGGGACAAUGCAGAGCUUGCUGCAGCCGUGAUUGGCAUGGAGAGACUUAACUGGAAGAAUUAGGGCAUAUGCUGGUCUGGAAAAGGUGUGAGAACUUCGGGUGGGCAAGAGGAGAGGGGAAAAGCAUGAGGAAAGGCACAGGAGUGGAAACUCUCAUGCCUGCUUUUGACACCUGUGCCCAAAAUGGAGGGAAAGGCUUUGGAAGCCUCAUAUAUCAAUCCAAGGAGGUUUAUCUUCGUUCUUUUUACAAAUAGAGGCUGGAAAACCAGCACCAGAGAUGCUCUGCAAUAGAUGCCUGUCUUCAGUGGAGGACAGAGCAAGUCAUCAUUACCCUAACUUGGCUGUCUGCAGAGCCCCAGCUUCACCCUUACCUCAACCCCUACAAGGAACUUGUUAAAAAGAGACCUUCUUUUAAAAUAAGUUUUCUCCACAUUACUCAGGACCCAUCCCAAAGACAUUUUGAUUCAGUAGAUAUGAGAUGGGAUCCAGAAAUCCAUAUCCUUCACAAGCUUCCCCAGAGACUGAUGCAGCUGCUCUGAGAGCCAGGCUUGGAAAUUACUACCUAGAGAUGACCCUGGCAUAUCCGACUCAGCCUGUCAAAAGGGAACUUUUUAAAUUGCACACUAAAAAUGUCUCUUUAUUUCUAAUGCACUGUAUUUCUGUCACCCAGUGGUGUGAUCUCCACUCACUGCAACCUCUGCCUCCCGGGUUCAAGCGAUUCUCGUACCUCAGCCUCCCCAGUAGUUGGGAUUACAGGUGCGUGCCACCACGCCUCGCUAAUUUUUUCUAUUUUUAGUAGAGACGGGGUUUUGUCAUGUUGCUCAGGCUGGUAUCAAACUCCUGAGCUCAGGCAAUCCACCCAUCUUGGCCUCCCAAAGUGUUAGAAUUACGGGCGUGAGCCACUGCGCCCGGCCCUAAAAUGCUUUAUAUCUUCCUACAUCAAUUUUUUUUUGGGCUGUCAUCCAGCUCACACCUCUACUACCACCCUCUGGUCUGAAAUGCUCUCUGCCUAUCAAUAUUUUGCCAAUUCUUCAAGAUCCAGCUCAAAUUUUAUCUAUUCUGUAAGGUCUGCCUUCUUUGAAAAAGAUUACAGAUCUCUCACAUAUUUUCUUAUCAGUGUGUGCUAGGCAGUUGGCUAGUUAGUCUUGGGGAAUACACAGAUGAGCAAGUCGUGUUCCUGAAAGGCAAUGAGCCUCUGAAACUACGUGGGGGCCCGUCCAAGGCGCCCUCCUUCCCCUGCUCUGGUUGGCCUCUUUGAGAACAUUUAAAUUUUUAUUUUUCUCUCCUUGUUUAAAAAUACUAUCCUUGUCAUGGAAAAAUAAAAACAUGAAUUGGAAAAAAUUAGAAAAGGCAUAAAAACGGC